rnacentral:rRNA from 1 species
UGGGAAUUUUGGACAAUGGGGGCAACCCUGAUCCAGCAAUGCCGCGUGUGUGAAGAAGGCCUUCGGGUUGUAAAGCACUUUUGUCCGGAAAGAAAUCGCCCUGGCUAAUAUCCGGGGUGGAUGACGGUACUGGAAGAAUAAGCACCGGCUAACUACGUGCCAGCAGCCGCGGUAAUACGUAGGGUGCGAGCGUUAAAUCGGAAUUACUGGGCGUAAAGCGUGCGCAGGCGGUUGUGCAAGACAGAUGUGAAAUCCCCGGGCUUAACCUGGGAAUGGCAUUUGUGACUGCACGGCUAGAGUGUGUCAGAGGGGGGUAGAAUUCCACGUGUAGCAGUGAAAUGCGUAGAUAUGUGGAGGAACACCGAUGGCGAAGGCAGCCCCCUGGGAUAACACUGACGCUCAUGCACGAAAGCGUGGGGAGCAAACAGGAUUAGAUACCCUGGUAGUCCCACGCCCUAAACGAUGUCAACUAGUUGUC